rnacentral:rRNA from 1 species
UACGGAAGGCAGCAGUAGGGAAUCUUCCGCAAUGGACGAAAGUCUGACGGAGCAACGCCGCGUGAACGAUGAAGGCUUUCGGGUCGUAAAGUUCUGUUGUUAGGGAGAACAAGUACCAGAGUAACUGCUGGUACCUUGACGGUACCUAACCAGAAAGCCACGGCUAACUACGUGCCAGCAGCCGCGGUAAUACGUAGGUGGCAAGCGUUGUCCGGAAUUAUUGGGCGUAAAGCGCGCGCAGGUGGUCCUUUUAAGUCUGAUGUGAAAGCCCACGGCUCAACCGUGGAGGGUCAUUGGAAACUGGGGGACUUGAGUGCAGAAGAGGAAAGUGGAAUUCCACGUGUAGCGGUGAAAUGCGUAGAGAUGUGGAGGAACACCAGUGGCGAAGGCGACUUUUCUGGUCUGUAACUGACACUGAGGCGCGAAAGCGUGGGGAGCGAACAGGGAUUAGAUACC